rnacentral:lncRNA from 1 species
AACUGUCUCACAGAGUUAGCUCUAUCAUUGCCAGUCACAUCGUAUUUUUAACCACCACAGUCUCCAAAAUGCAGCCUGGCUCAAUCCUGAUCACUCAUACUGGAAUUGUCAACUUACUUCAAAAAUUUGCCACUCAAAAGCUUAUCAAGGAGCACUGACCCUGAGGAGUUGGAGCCGGCACCAAAAGUAUUGAAGUCAAAUGGAAAAGUAGAACAGAUUUCAGAUUCCGGGAAAAUAAAAGACAAAAAAGAGACAGAAACUACAGAUAUUAUGUCCUUGUUGUCUAUGCCAUCAGCUCGGGAAAAAGAAGUGAAAAAGUGGGCGAAGAGAUACUGGAUCUUCUCAAUAAACCGACUGCGAAAGAAAGGUCUUUAGCGGAACGUUUUCGAUCACAAGGAGGUGCUCAAGUUAUGGAAUUUGCCCACAUGGAACGAAAUCUGAAUGUUUACGGGUUGGAAAUGAGCACUGUAAAAAAAUUCAUUUCAAGAAAAUUAUCCAAAGUCAUACGGAUGAAUCUUUAGGUGAUUUUUCCUUUUUAACACAUGUUUUCACAUGGACCUUGCA